UAAUAGCUCACUGGUCGAGUCGGCCUGCGCGGAAGAUGUAACGGGGCUAAACCAUGCACCGAAGCUGCGGCAGCGACGCUUAUGCGUUGUUGGGUAGGGGAGCGUUCUGUAAGCCUGCGAAGGUGUACUGUGAGGUAUGCUGGAGGUAUCAGAAGUGCGAAUGCUGACAUAAGUAACGAUAAAGCGGGUGAAAAGCCCGCUCGCCGGAAGACCAAGGGUUCCUGUCCAACGUUAAUCGGGGCAGGGUGAGUCGACCCCUAAGGCGAGGCCGAAAGGCGUAGUCGAUGGGAAACAGGUUAAUAUUCCUGUACUUGGUGUUACUGCGAAGGGGGGACGGAGAAGGCUAUGUUGGCCGGGCGACGGUUGUCCCGGUUUAAGCGUGUAGGCUGGUUUUCCAGGCAAAUCCGGAAAAUCAAGGCUGAGGCGUGAUGACGAGGCACUACGGUGCUGAAGCAACAAAUGCCCUGCUUCCAGGAAAAGCCUCUAAGCAUCAGGUAACAUCAAAUCGUACCCCAAACCGACACAGGUGGUCAGGUAGAGAAUACCAAGGCGCUUGAGAGAACUCGGGUGAAGGAACUAGGCAAAAUGGUGCCGUAACUUCGGGAGAAGGCACGCUGAUA
rnacentral:rRNA from 1 species